AACGUUAUUUGCAUGUUGGUGUCCCAGCUUACUUUUGGUUACAUGCUUACUUUUGGUUUUGGAUUAUUAAACUCCAUUGGUACAAGCUUACUUUUGGUUGUGGAAUGUUGCACUGCAUUCUCCCUAGUUCUCGGAGUUGGUAGCAAUCAAAUAUAUGGUGACUUACAAAAAGAGAGUAAAGGUGGAAGAAAACAUUGACAAUGUGAAAAUCUCAUAUCCUUUGUGGGGAGAUGUUUGUUUUGUGUAAAGUCAGUUGUGUAACUCUUUUGAUCUCAACUUCAGAUUAUGUGUAUAAUGUCAGAGAAUUGGGGAAAGUUU